AGUGUAGCUUAGUAGAGAGAGCUCUUGCCUAACAUGCAUGAGGCCUGAGUUCGAUCCCCGGCACU
rnacentral:tRNA from 1 species